rnacentral:tRNA from 1 species
GGAAGGGUGACCGAGUGGUUGAAGGUACCGGUCUUGAAAACCGGCGUGCGGUAACACGUACCGAGGGUUCGAAUCCCUCCCCUUCCGCCA